UACAGAGGGUGCAAACGUUGUUCGGAAUCACUGGGCAUAAAGCGCACGUAGGCUGCUUCGUAAGUGUCGGAUGAAAUCCCACGGCUCACCCGUGGAACGGUCCGGCAUACUGCGGAGCUAGAGGAUGGUAGAGGAGAGCGGAACUCUUGGUGGAGCGGUGAAAUGCGUAGAUAUCAAGAGGAACACCGGUGGCGAAGGCGGCGCUCUGGUCCAUGUCUGACGCUGAGGUGCGAAAGCCAGGGGAGCAAACGGG
rnacentral:rRNA from 1 species